AUUAUAUUUGGCUUCUGUUUUUCUGGGUGGUGUGGGAGAGGAGAUAACUGAGUUGCAAAUUGAGAUUCAAUGUAUGGAGAAUAAGCAACCGUUAGCACCUAACUCAUUCUCAAAUCUUGGACCUUGCAGGAGGACUAGUGGCCCUAUUAGACGAGCUAAAGGUGGUUGAACUCUUGAGGUGGAUGAGACACUUAGACGAGCUGUUGACAAGUUUAAGGGGAAGAGGUGGAAGAAAAUAGGUUUUCAUAGGUUUCAAUUUCAAGUCAUGAGUUUGUUAAUGGAUUUAUGUCUACCUUGAUUGAUUUUUUUCUUUGGUGGGUUUCUCUCAGAUCAAGUGUCAGCUAUUUUGGUUGAGUCUUGUAUUGCUGGUUAUGCCGGUGUAACUACAAGCUCCAUGGUUAUUGGGGCAGUAGGUGGCUUAAAGAACUCAAGGCUCAACUCGGCUCAACUCUGUGUCACCAAAGUCACCGAAGGUACUCAAAACAAGCUCUCUAAUAGCAUAUCACUUUGCUGUAUCAUUUUCUGUAUAUUUAGGCUAUUAAUACUUCUUCUUCAUGAGUUUGUGUUGCUUAGUUGCAGGUUGAAGCUGAUUACGUGAUGAGCUUUAGGAUAUGAUCUGUUUAUGUAUUUUCUAAUCUUUGACUUGUUAAAUCUCUUUGUUGGGAACUUGCAUGAGUGAGGACCACAAGAAGACAGGUCGUGACUCUUGAGUAAGAAUGGGUUAUAUUUAAGAAGCAAGUUGGAGUUCCUGAAGCUGGAGGACUUCAAGAAGGCGAAGGAGAAGGUUAUAUUUAAGAAGCAAGUUGGAGUUCUUGAAGCUUUUAACGUCUGUUCAUGAACUUUUUUCGAUGGUGGUACCAUCUCAGAAUGGGAGGAUCUUCGGUCUUGGGGGCAGAAACUACAUCCGUGAGCGUGGAGAAAGCUCAACUGGUGCAGUGGAAAGGAUCUCUCUUGAACGUCAGCUCGCAUCUCUUCAAGAGCAACUGGCAGGUGUUGUGGAAUUUAUGAAGCAAUAUAUGUCUGCAGGUGGCUCACACUCUUUCCCAACGGCUCAACCAACUAAUGGUACAAGUGCAUCAGUGACCAGCCCAAGUCAAGCCAACAACAGGGACCCUGAAGAUGAUGACAUCCAUUUCAGUCAUCCAACUAAUGUGCCGGAUGACACUCAUGAACCAGAAGACGAUGACGGUGAUGCAUAUCACGGUAGUGCCAUCAACUGAUGAACACUCAAUAACAGCUUUCUUUAACCCCUGCUCGUUUGUUUUAAUACUCUGAGCAUAGUCUUUUGUUUAAUAUCUCUGCUCUGUACUGGGGUCUUUUGUUCUGCUUUCUAUUUCGGUUUAAAACUCUGAUCUACAGUCUUUUGUUCUAAACUCUGUUCUGUAAUCUUUUGGUUCAAACUCUGCUGUAUUUCCACUUUAAAACUCUGCUUCCUGUUUGAUA